rnacentral:rRNA from 1 species
UACGUAGGGUGCGAGCGUUAAUCGGAAUUACUGGGCGUAAAGCGUGCGCAGGCGGUUCGUUGUGUCUGAUGUGAAAGCCCCGGGCCCAACCUGGGAAUGGCAUUGGAAACUGGCGAGCUAGAGUGUGGCAGAGGGGGGUGGAAUUCCGCGUGUAGCAGUGAAAUGCGUAGAGAUGCGGAGGAACACCGAUGGCGAAGGCAGCCCCCUGGGCUGACACUGACGCUCAGGCACGAAAGCGUGGGGAGCAAACAGG